AUUUUUUUAGUAUAUAAGUAUAUUUGACUUCCAAUCAAAAGGACCAUUUUUAAUGGAAAAAAUA
rnacentral:tRNA from 1 species